CUCCCGAAAUGAAGCAAUAUUUUCAUUGUUUUCCGCAUAAAAAUGAACUAUUUCUAGCAGUCACUUCAAGGGCAUUCACUUCAUUUAGCAUCCAAGACAUAAUAAAGUCCGGUGAGGAGUAAUUAUCCCUUAUGAGAAGAAUAAGUGCAGCUUUUCUCCUGUAGAACAUUCCAUUUAAUUCUGGAGCCUGGUUGUGCCUUAAGGAACCCCAGCACGAGGUUCCUGCAGAAGAAAAGCUCCCUAAAACACCAUUACCAUGUUGCUGUGCAGAGGGAAUGUCCUGCUGCUUCUCACAGCUUGCCCACCACAGGUGACCGUUUGUAUGUCUGCUCCUUGAAAUCCUACUGAUUUGUGAAUGCUGAAACAUGGAGUCCAGAAAACAGUGGUGUAUCUGUAUAUUUAAUAGGCUUUCCAGGAUGACCCCUUCACUACACAUCUGUUUCUUUUCCACAUGCGAGCUGUUCCUCAGAAGUGUAAUCACCCGGCGUGAGAGAAUGGCUGUCCUGGGGACAUCACCAUAGCAAGUAACGUACCAUUAGGGAUGUGGUGAGCAGAGGUACCAGACAGCUCUCCUGCUGCAGCUGAUGUUGCUUCGGGCCCUGCAGAAACAAGAGAGGGAUGCAGCAGGACGUGGCUGUGUAUGCAGAGGCAGCAUAAAGCAUUGCUCACCACCAGCAGCCCCACUCCCAAUGCUGGGCACUGGUCCCACCUCCUGCACAUUACAGCUCUGCAGUCCUGGUGAGUAGUGCCAUGCUUUCUUUCAUGUCUAUGAAAUGAAGUUAUUUGUGCUCCAUUCUCCUCUUACCAAGAGGAUGCAAUGGUGAAUAUCUUGGCCUGGAUGGCAGUUGGGCUUCCGUUGUGUUUGCCUUGCUAUAUUGUUUUGACCGAAUGACGUUCUGUAACCUAAUAUUCCCUGUGGGAAGCUGUUGUGUAAAAUGAGACUGUUUCCGGGUAUAUAAUAAUGUUUUUGAUAAAUGCUUCAUAUUGCAUGCUCCAGUUCAUGAUUUAUAGUCUUUAGCAGUAAUCAGGGAAGGGGCAUUUCCUUUCUUUGCUUGCCUGGAGACAAAGCAGUGCUUUGCAAAUGUUUGGCUUUCCUUUUAGCUGCAAUAGUAAUUGUUCCCCAUGCUAGUCUCUAGGCCUCAAAAUCCUUGCAGGUACUGUAAGAAAAAAAGCAGAGUGCAGAGCAGUGUUUGUGGAUGUGAGAUGAUUUUGGAUGGGAAAUUUAGUGGGAAGAAAAGACAAUUUUUUGCUGGAUUGCAAAUGGGAGGGUCUGGAUUAAGUCUUGUCUUCAAUCAGACUCACUGAUUGACUUUGCUCAUGUGCCUUGAUUGUAAUUUUGCUCAGCCCUGGUUACUGGAGGGUUUUUAUUUCUGUGUAACGGAAGAUGAGUUGAAGUUUGGUGGCAAUAGAUGUGGGAUGGAUAGGACUGUUCAGUUUGGCUCACAUGUGAGUUGAAGCCCUUUAUGACUGGUGGCCAUUUUUCACAUGGCAGGCAGAAAAAGAAAUAGUUGUGACAGGAGAGAUGAAUGAGUGAUUCUUGCUGUGCUUAUCCCUGCCUGAAGGUCUUCUGGGUUGGGCAGGACUCAGGGUGAAGCUAGAAAGAAAUCCUGCUGAUCUGGAAUCCUUUUCCCCAUGGAAUCAUACACAACAAAUCUCACUUCCCAAAUUAAUGCACAGAUUCAAAGCUUUGUGACCCAAGUCCCACCACAGAGAUGCCUACGCUGUGGUGGCUCUGCAAUGGCCAUCUGCUCCAGCUCUGUCAACCAGCAGCAGCCAUCCUAUGAGUAACAGUUGCUGUAACAUCCUAGCUAAAUAAAUCACAUCACUCUCUAAUCCCAUGCAUGGGGCUAGCACCUGCUCUUCCUUUGCUUACCAGAUGGGGCUCGGUAUGCCAGAAUGUUUCCCCCAAAGCCACUUUCUCAGCAGCCCUGGGAAUCUCUUCGCUUACCCAGGUGAAAUCACAGCUGCUGAGCUCCCUUUUUUGCAGUGACAAGGAUUGGACUGAGCAGCUUUACGUACCCAUG